rnacentral:lncRNA from 1 species
AAUGAUACCAGUGGAAUUGUUGGUGCUUUUCCUCUCCACUUCUGCUACUGCAAGCUGAAGGAGAAUUUCUGGUCUGCAAGCUGCAUAAAGACCCUUUUUCUGAUAUUUUGCAUUCGCUGGAACUCCAUACAUGGUGGGAAGAAUGCAAGGGCAGUACAGAGGAAGCCACUGAAAUCAUUCUUACUGGGCAGCAGCUACAUCAAAAGCUCUAGUAUGGACAAAAAGUUUCUCUGACAUUGCUGGUGAACAGAUAACAACACUCAAAUAAAAAAAGCACUCUUAAGCUUUUUCA